UACGUAGGGGGCAAGCGUUGUCCGGACUUAUUGGGCGUAAAGAGCGUGUAGGCGGCCAGACAGGUCCGUUGUGAAAACUGGAGGCUUAACCUUCAGACGUCGAUGGAAACCGUCUGGCUAGAGUCCGGAAGAGGAGAGUGGAAUUCCUGGUGUAGCGGUGAAAUGCGCAGAUAUCAGGAAGAACACCCGUGGCUAAGGCGGCUCUCUAGUACGGUACUGACGCUGAGACGCGAAAGCGUGGGGAGCGAACAGG
rnacentral:rRNA from 1 species